UCAUCCAGCUGUUGGAUCAGUUACUUCUCUACCAAUUGUUCCAGUGUCAUCCAGCUGUUGGAUCAGUUACUUCUCUACCAAUUGUUCCAGUGUCAUCCAGGUGUUGGAUCAGUUACUUCUCUACCAAUUGUUCCCGUGUCAUCCAGGUGUUGGAUCAGUUACUUCUCUACCAAUUGUUCCCGUGUCAUCCAGUUGUUGGAUCAGUUAAUUCUACCGAUUGUUGCAGUGUCAUCCAGGUGUUGGAUCAGUUACUUCUCUACCAAUUGUUCCCGUUUCAUCGAGUUGAUGGAUCAGUUACUUCUCUACCAAUUGUUCCAGUUUCAUCGAGUUGAUGGAUCAGUUACUUCUCUACCAAUUGUUCCCGUUUCAUCGAGUUGAUGGAUCAGUUAAUUCUCUAACGAUUGUUCCUGUGUCAUCCAGGUGUUGGGUCAGUUACUUCUACCGAUUGUUCUUGUGUCAUCCAGGUUUUGGACUAGUUACUUCUACUUGAAGAAAACAUCAACAGUUAUGAACAAAGAGUUCCACCG